rnacentral:rRNA from 1 species
GUUGAACGCUAGCGGGAUGCCUUACACAUGCAAGUCGAACGGAGUGGCGAACGGGUGAGUAAUGUAUGGGAACGUGCCCAGUAGCGGGGGAUAACUACGCGAAAGCGUAGCUAAUACCGCAUACUUUUGGAGCGGCUGCGAGGGGCGUUGCUAGUUGGUGGGGUAACGGCUCACCAAGGCGGCGAUCCGGAGCUGGUUUGAGAGGACGACCAGCCACACUGGGACUGAGACACGGCCCAGACUCCUACGGGAGGCAGCAGUGGGGAAUUUUGGACAAUGGGGGAAACCCUGACCGAGCCAUCCCGCGUGAGCGAUGAAGGCCUUCGGGUUGUAAAGCACUUUUGGCAGGAAAGCGGUACCUGCAGAAUAAGCACCGGCUAACUACGUGCCAGCAGCCGCGGUAAUUC